CAGGAUUUGGGUCUUCGUGAAAAUACAAAAAGAGUGAAAAAGGUGAUGAUGUCAUUGUUUAUGGAAGGAUGCUACAUGUUAACAGUUCAAAACCAACUUAGAUGUGGUCAAACGGUCUCAAAUUAUCUCCAAGCUUAUAUUUUAGCACAGCCAUCAGACUUUUGCUUGCCUGCACAAAAUGUAUGCACUCUUCCCACUUCCUGGGGAGUAUACUGGCAAGAACUUCCAAAAUCAAAUAAUACGCAUCUUACAUCUAUAAUACUGGAUGGAGUAUUGAACUCUAAUAUAG